UGUGAAAUCCCCGGGCUCAACCUGGGAACUGCAUCUGAUACUGGCAAGCUUGAGUCUCGUAGAGGGGGGUAGAAUUCCAGGUGUAGCGGUGAAAUGCGUAGAGAUCUGGAGGAAUACCGGUGGCGAAAGCGGCCCCCUGGACGAAGACUGACGCUCAGGUGCGAAAGCGUGGGGAGCAAACAGGAUUAGAUACCCUGGUAGUCCACGCCGUAAACGAUGUCGACUUGGAGGUUGUGCCCUUGAGGCGUGGCUUCC
rnacentral:rRNA from 1 species